AGCGAAUGCUGGCGGCAGGCCUAACACAUGCAAGUCGAACGGACCCUUCGGGGUUAGUGGCGGACGGGUGAGUAACACGUGGGAACGUGCCUUUAGGUUCGGAAUAGCUCCUGGAAACGGGUGGUAAUGCCGAAUGUGCCCUUCGGGGGAAAGAUUUAUCGCCUUUAGAGCGGCCCGCGUCUGAUUAGCUAGUUGGUGAGGUAAUGGCUCACCAAGGCGACGAUCAGUAGCUGGUCUGAGAGGAUGACCAGCCACAUUGGGACUGAGACACGGCCCAAACUCCUACGGGAGGCAGCAGUGGGGAAUCUUGCGCAAUGGGCGAAAGCCUGACGCAGCCAUGCCGCGUGAAUGAUGAAGGUCUUAGGAUUGUAAAAUUCUUUCACCGGGGACGAUAAUGACGGUACCCGGAGAAGAAGCCCCGGCUAACUUCGUGCCAGCCGCCGCAGUAACAC
rnacentral:rRNA from 1 species